CAAACUGGAAACAGUUGUCAGAAAGGUGAAGAUGGGGAAGAGAUUCAUAGCUCUUCUCAAACAUUGUUUUAUAAAGAUCUAGAUCACACGAAUUCCACUCAAUAUCCAAGCUUCUUAUCAUAACAACUCAAGCUUAUCUGAACCAGCCCUCCAAACCUUGUGAGGAUCCCAUCACCAACUGACCUUCACUUGUUCUGAUACAGAAGAGAAACGGUGUUACCAUCUGUCCUUCAAAUCUUGCAUUGUGGGG